GACGAACCGUGCGAACGUUGUUCGGAAUCACUGGGCUUAAAGGGCGCGUAGGCGGCUGUUCAAGUCCGGGGUGAAAGCCUCCAGCUCAACUGGAGAAGUGCCUUGGAUACUGGAUGGCUUGAGUGAGGUAGGGGCAGCUGGAACUUCCGGUGGAGCGGUGAAAUGCGUUGAUAUCGGAAGGAACGCCGGUGGCGAAAGCGAGCUGCUGGACCUCUUCUGACGCUGAGGCGCGAAAGCUAGGGUAGCGAACGGG
rnacentral:rRNA from 1 species